AAAAAGUUUCUGCACAACAAAAGAAACAACCAACAACAACAAGGCAACCUAUGGAAUAGGAGAAAAUAUUUGCAAACUACACAUCUGAUAAGGGGCAAAUAUCCAAACUAUAUAAUGAACUUAUACAAGUGUAGAGCAAAAGAACUAAACAAUCCAAUUUUAAAAUGGGCAAAGGACCUGAAUAGACAUAUUUCCAAGGAAGAUAUUCAAAUGGCCAACACCUACAUGAAAAGUUGUUUAACAUUACUAAUCAUUAGGGAAAUGCAAAACUAUAAUGAGAUACCAUCUUACACAUCUUAGAAUUUCUAUCAUCAAAAACGUAAGUGAUGGGCGCCUGGGUGGCUCAGUGGGUUAAGCCGCUGCCUUCGGCUCAGGUC